AUAGUCAGUUUUUUUAUAAACUAAACUAUUACAUCGUCAAGUCGUAAAAAAGCUUGAUUAGAAUUUUAUAGUAUGAACUCUUUGAGUUUCAUUCACAAGCUAUGUUAUACUAAAUGUUUGAGCUUGUAUUACAAAGAAUGACUCGGAAGGAUUACUUUAAAACUUAAAAAUAAAUUAGUUUACUCUAAUUUAUAAAAACUCAUACUUA
rnacentral:misc_RNA from 1 species